rnacentral:rRNA from 1 species
GUGGGGAAUCUUGCACAAUGCGCGAAAGCGUGAUGCAGCAACGCCGCGUGGGGGAAGACGGCCUUCGGGUUGUAAACCCCUUUCAGUUGGGACGAAGCUUCGUCGGUGAAUAGCCGGUUGGAGUGACGGUACCUUCAGAAGAAGCCCCGGCUAACUACGUGCCAGCAGCCGCGGUAAUACGUAGGGGGCAAGCGUUGUCCGGAAUCAUUGGGCGUAAAGCGCGUGUAGGCGGCUCGAUAAGUCUGCUGUGAAAGUCCAGGGCUCAACCCUGGGAUGCCGGUGGAUACUGUCGAGCUCGAGUCCGGAAGAGGCGAGUGGAAUUCCUGGUGUAGCGGUGAAAUGCGCAGAUAUCAGGAGGAACACCAAUGGCGAAGGCAGCUCGCUGGGACGUGACUGACGCUGAGACGCGAAAGCGUGGGGAGCAAACAGGAUUAGAUACCCGAGUAGUCC